rnacentral:rRNA from 1 species
GAUGAACGCUGGCGGCGUGCCUAAUACAUGCAAGUCGAGCGAACGGACGAGAAGCUUGCUUCUCUGAUGUUAGCGGCGGACGGGUGAGUAACACGUGGAUAACCUACCUAUAAGACUGGGAUAACUUCGGGAGACCGGAGCUAAUACCGGAUAAUAUUUUGAACCGCAUGGUUCAAAAGUGAAAGACGGUCUUGCUGUCACUUAUAGAUGGAUCCGCGCUGCAUUAGCUAGUUGGUAAGGUAACGGCUUACCAAGGCAACGAUGCAUAGCCGACCUGAGAGGGCGAUCGGCCACACUGGAACUGAGACACGGUCCAGACUCCUACGGGAGGCAGCAGUAGGGAAUCUUCCGCAAUGGGCGAAAGCCUGACGGAGCAACGCCGCGUGAGUGAUGAAGGUCUUCGGAUCGUAAAACUCUGUUAUUAGGGAAGAACAUAUGUGUAAGUAACUGUGCACAUCUUGACGGUACCUAAUCAGAAAGCCACGGCUAACUACGUGCCAGCAGCCGCGGUAAUACGUAGGUGGCAAGCGUUAUCCGGAAUUAUUGGGCGUAAAGCGCGCGUAGGCGGUUUUUUAAGUCUGAUGUGAAAGCCCACGGCUCAACCGUGGAGGGUCAUUGGAAACUGGAAAACUUGAGUGCAGAAGAGGAAAGUGGAAUUCCAUGUGUAGCGGUGAAAUGCGCAGAGAUAUGGAGGAACACCAGUGGCGAAGGCGACUUUCUGGUCUGUAACUGACGCUGAUGUGCGAAAGCGUGGGGAUCAAACAGGAUUAGAUACCCUGGUAGUCCACGCCGUAAACGAUGAGUGCUAAGUGUUAGGGGGUUUCCGCCCCUUAGUGCUGCAGCUAACGCAUUAAGCACUCCGCCUGGGGAGUACGACCGCAAGGUUGAAACUCAAAGGAAUUGACGGGGACCCGCACAAGCGGUGGAGCAUGUGGUUUAAUUCGAAGCAACGCGAAGAACCUUACCAAAUCUUGACAUCCUUUGACAACUCUAGAGAUAGAGCCUUCCCCUUCGGGGGACAAAGUGACAGGUGGUGCAUGGUUGUCGUCAGCUCGUGUCGUGAGAUGUUGGGUUAAGUCCCGCAACGAGCGCAACCCUUAAGCUUAGUUGCCAUCAUUAAGUUGGGCACUCUAAGUUGACUGCCGGUGACAAACCGGAGGAAGGUGGGGAUGACGUCAAAUCAUCAUGCCCCUUAUGAUUUGGGCUACACACGUGCUACAAUGGACAAUACAAAGGGCAGCGAAACCGCGAGGUCAAGCAAAUCCCAUAAAGUUGUUCUCAGUUCGGAUUGUAGUCUGCAACUCGACUACAUGAAGCUGGAAUCGCUAGUAAUCGUAGAUCAGCAUGCUACGGUGAAUACGUUCCCGGGUCU